rnacentral:rRNA from 1 species
UACGGGGGGGGCAAGCGUUGUUCGGAAUUACUGGGCGUCAAGGGCUCGUAGGUGGCCAACUAAGUCAGACGUGAAAUCCCUCGGCUUAACCGGGGAACUGCGUCUGAUACUGGAUGGCUUGAGUUCGGGAGAGGGAUGCGGAAUUCCAGGUGUAGCGGUGAAAUGCGUAGAUAUCUGGAGGAACACCGGUGGCGAAGGCGGCAUCCUGGACCGACACUGACACUGAGGAGCGAAAGCCAGGGGAGCAAACGGG